UGCGUAGGCGGUUCGUUAAGUCAGAUGUGAAAGCCCUGGGCUCAACCUGGGAACUGCAUUUGAAACUGGCGGACUAGAGUUUAGUAGAGGGGAGUGGAAUUUCAGGUGUAGCGGUGAAAUGCGUAGAUAUCUGAAGGAACACCAGUGGCGAAGGCGACUCCCUGGACUAGAACUGACGCUGAGGUACGAAAGCGUGGGUAGCAAACAGGAUUAGAUACCCUGGUAGUCCACGCCGUAAACGAUGUCAACUAGCCGUUGGUCCUAUUUACAGGAUUAGUGGCGCAGCUAACGCAUUAAGUUGACCGCCUGGGGAGUACGGCCGCAAGGUUAAA
rnacentral:rRNA from 1 species